UCAGUGGAACUUACCUUCUCUGCUGAGCUUCACGGCUUCACCCAGGCAGCAAAGCUCUCCGUGGCUGUUCCCCAAAGGCGAGUCUGCGUCUAAACAAACACCACAGCUUACUUACAAACACCCAGGAGCAUUCACAACAAACUUUGGGGGGCCACGCGUGGAGCCAUGCUGGUCCGAGGGCUGGCCAUCAGGUUAGCAUUAGCUCGCUGAGUGAAGCUGUCAGAGCUAACAAACUUACAGCUGGACAGACCGUGCAUGGUGGAGGGGCUUACUCAACUCAAUCACAGACAGUUGGACCACGCACUUCCCGACACUUUGCCCGCAGAAACAACAACGCUACCGACGUGCGAACUUACUGUCAACAAAACGUAAUUUAGCGGCACUGACGAAGGAGGACCAAGGUUCGCACAGAAAGCAGGCGAAAAACGAAAGAACGAGAUAUGCUGACGUCGUCCUCGGGGGGCUUCGGCUCAGUUCGGCUUCUGUCGGGUGGUGGAGAGAUUGAGCGACAGAGAGGGUGCUAUUCUCGAGUUCAAAAGUUCAGUAUGUAGGUACUACUGGCCAAAGUGUAUUGAAAUUCAACGGGGGCGCCACUUUAGGAAGGUGAUAGUAUAUGGUAAAUAUAAUGUAUACAAAAAUAACAUUCACUAAUCUAAUGGAAUAAAGGAACGAAAAUAAAGAACAUUUUUGUCUCCUCUGAAA